AAUGGUAACUAAUGAUUAUUUAUUUUGUAGUUUCGUCUAUGAUAUAAGUUGAUGACUCAUGGUUUUUAGACUGUUGAUAUGUAUAGGUAAUAAUUUCAUUCAAACUAUGCCAUGUUAAUAGAAUUAUCUUUAGAAUGUUUAGUUAUGCAUUAGUGUCACAUCCGUUACAUAUUUGUUUUUAUUUUAUUUUAACGCCAACAAGAGUACAGGCACAUCAUCAAUACAAUUAAAAU